rnacentral:rRNA from 1 species
CCUACGGGAGGCAGCAGGGGGGGAUAUUGCACAAUGGGGGAAACCCUGAUGCAGCGAAGCCGCGUGGGGGAAGACGGUCCUCUGGAUUGGAAACCACGGUCCCCAGGGACGAAAAUGACGGUACCGGGGGAGGAAGCGCCGGCUAACUACGUGCCAGCAGCCGCGGUAAGACGUCGGGAGCGAGCGUUGUCCGGAAUUACGGGGGGGAAAGGGAGCGGAGGCGGGGAGGCAAGUUGGGUGUCCAAACGACCGGCUCAACCGGUAGUCGCACUCAAAACUGCAGCUCGGGAGUGCAGUAGAGGCCGGCGGCAUUCCUCGUGUAGCGGUGCAAUGCGUCGAUAUUAGGCG